rnacentral:tRNA from 1 species
GCCUGGGUGGCUCAGUCGGUUAAGCGUCUGACUUCGGCUCAGGUCAUGAUCUCGCGGUCUGUGGGUUCGAGCCCUGCGUUGGGCU